rnacentral:rRNA from 1 species
UACGUAGGGGGCUAGCGUUGUCCGGAUUUAUUGGGCGUAAAGAGCGUGUAGGCGGCCAGGUAGGUCUGCUGUGAAAACUCGAGGCUCAACCUCGAGACGUCGGCGGAAACCAUCUGGCUAGAGUCCGGAAGAGGAGAGUGGAAUUCCUGGUGUAGCGGUGAAAUGCGCAGAUAUCAGGAGGAACACCUGUGGCGAAAGCGGCUCACUGGACCACAACUGACGCUGAGGCGCGAAAGCUAGGGGAGCAAACAGG